GACAGAGGAUGCAAGCGUUAUCCGGAAUGAUUGGGCGUAAAGCGUCUGUAGGUGGCUUUUUAAGUCCGCCGUCAAAUCCCAGGGCUCAACCCUGGACAGGCGGUGGAAACUACCAAGCUGGAGUACGGUAGGGGAGACUGGAAUUCCUGGUGUAGCGGUGAAAUGCGCAGAUAUCAGGAGGAACACCGAUGGCGAAGGCAGGUCUCUGGGCAUCUACUGAGCCGAGGAGCGAAAAGCAUGGGGGAGCGAACAGG
rnacentral:rRNA from 1 species